rnacentral:rRNA from 1 species
UACGUAGGGGGCAAGCGUUGUCCGGAAUUAUUGGGCGUAAAGAGCGUGUAGGCGGCCAGAUAAGUCCGCUGUGAAAUCUCGAGGCUCAACUUCGAGCUGUCGGUGGAAACUAUCUGGCUAGAGUCCGGAAGAGGAGAAUGGAAUUCCUGGUGUAGCGGUGGAAUGCGCAGAUAUCAGGAGGAACACCGGUGGCGAAGGCGGGUCUCUGGGCAGUAACUGACACUGAGGAGCGAAAGCGUGGGGAGCGAACAGG